rnacentral:rRNA from 1 species
UCCUCACAUAACCAUAAGAUGCAACUUACCCUAUUGAAGAAAGAUAACCUUUGAAUUGGCUUGGAAAAGUUUUUCAACAAAAGGGAUAGGGAAAAUGGUCUCUAUCCGCUAUAGGAUAGGAUCGUGUUCGAUUAUGGUAGUUGGUGAGGUAACGGCUCACCAAGCCGAUAAUCGAUAGGGGCCGUGAGAGCGGGAGCCCCGAGAUGGGUACUGAGACAACGACCCAGGCCUUACGAGGCGCAGCAGGUACGAAACCUCCACAAUACACGAAAGUGUGAUGGGGUUACCCAAAGUGUUCAUUAUUGAACUGUGGUAGGAGAGUAAUGUCCCCUACUAGAAAGGAGAGGGCAAGGCUGGUGCCAGCCGCCGCGGUAAAACCAGCUCUUCAAGUGGUCGGGAUAAUUAUUGGGCUUAAAGUGUCCGUAGCCGGUUUGGUAAGUUCCUGGUAAAAUCGGAUAGCUUAACUAUCUGUAUGCUAGGAAUACUGCUAUACUAGAGGGCGGGAGAGGUCUGAGGUACUACAGGGGUAGAGGUGAAAUCUUAUAAUCCUUGUAGGACCACCAGUGGCGAAGGCGUCAGACUGGAACGCGCCUGACGGUGAGGGACGAAAGCCAGGGGAGCGAACCGGAUUAGAUACCCGGGUAGUCCUGGCCGUAAACGAUGCAUACUAGGUGAUGGUACGGCUAUGAGCCAUAUCAGUGCCGUAGGGAAACCGUUAAGUGUGCCGCCUGGGAAGUACGGUCGCAAGGCUAAAACUUAAAGGAAUUGGCGGGGGAGCACCACAAGGGGUGAAGCCUGCGGUUCAAUUGGAUUCAACGCCGGG